AAGAUCAUUUACCACCUUUGGAAAUUGUUUUAUAGUAGAAACUCAGAAAGGAUAUCGUAGACGAACGAAGGGCUUGCCCUUGAAGAUCAUUUACCAGCUCUGGAAGUUGUUUUAUAGUAGAAACUCAGAAAGAAUAUUAUAGACGAACGAAGGGCUUGCCCUUGAAGAUCAUUUACCAUCAUAGACGAACGAAGGGCUUGCCCUUGAAGAUCAUUUACCAUCAUAGACGAACGAAGGGCUUGCCCUUGAAGAUCAUUUACCAUCAUAGACGAACGAAGGGCUUGCCCUUGAAGAUCAUUUACCAUCAUAGACGAACGAAGGGCUUGCCCUUGAAGAUCAUUUACCAUCAUAGACGAACGAAGGGCUUGCCCUUGAAGAUCAUUUACCAUCAUAGACGAACGAAGGGCUUGCCCUUGAAGAUCAUUUACCACCUCUGGAAGUACAUUGAGUAGAGACUGUAGUAGGAACUCAAAAUGGAUAUCUAAGUCAAGUGAAGGGGUUGAUCAGAUAUCUUAGCGGGAAGAACAGAUCGGA
rnacentral:lncRNA from 1 species